rnacentral:sRNA from 1 species
AUUGAAAGAGAAAUUUGCAUUUCUAACCUACAAAAAUAUUAUAAUUAGGUAACUAACACUCUAAAAAAAAGUAACUAAUAUUGUUUGUAUUUUCUGUAAUAAUGCCAAUACUAUCCAUGUUUGAAAUACACGCUCUUCAUCUUCUCCCUUCCAUAGAAAACCAACUAUUCUCUUUCACCAACUAUUAACUUUUGAACAUGGGAUUGGUUCUAAUAAAAUCCAGUCUACCUUUUAUGAAGCUUUUGAUUUUGCCAACGAUUAACAAAAGUGUAUUGGGCACAGAAGCAAGACAGUUAAUUUCCAGAAAUGACAUUUAGGUUUUGCUCGAAAUUGAAUUAGAGGUUUUGAUUUACAGAGGCAAGACUUCAGAUUUUGUUGGAGUCUUUGGUUUUUUAAGAGACUUUGGUUUUGUUUUUUGAAAUUGAAUUAGUCGAGAUUCUCGCUAAUAAACGCUGAAUUUGAUCAAUUUUUGUUCUCUGUUUCCUUCAUUUGAUUUUUUUUUUUGGGUCUCUCUAAUUUUUUGGCGUCGUUGUUUCCUUAUCCUGAACCAAUAAAUCGAUUUUGAUUUUGAGAAAUUUUUGAGAGAUACUAUUCUAUUUUGUGAAUAUACUAUUUACGUAUACCUUGUACUAUAUACGUUUUAAAAUGAAUUGUUUGUUUUGAUUAAGGAUGUGAAAUGAUUUGAUUAGUGUUUUAUAUUAAAAGUCUUGGGUUCCCUAUAUACUAUCUUAGGGUUUAAUAUCCUUCCAUCAAAAAGUAUUUAAUUGAUUAUUUGGAUUCAUCAAAACAAACGUUUCUAUUUGAACAAAUAUAUACUAUUCUAUCUUUCUAUGAUGAUCUUUAUAGAAUUUGAUACCACUAUUUAUUUUUUUAAAAAUUCGUUUCCGAUUUUUAAAAUUCAAAUCAUAUUAGAUAAACAAAAAAAAAUCUGUUUUUUCAAUAGUAUUAUUAACUUUAACCAAGUA